rnacentral:rRNA from 1 species
GAGGGAAAAGCUCAAAUUUAAAAUCUGGCAGUCUCUGGCUGUCCGAGUUGUAAUUUAGAGAAGUGUUACCCGUGCUGGACCGUGUAUAAGUCUCCUGGAAUGGAGCGUCAUAGAGGGUGAGAAUCCCGUCUUUGACACGGACUCCCAGUGCAUUGUGGUGCGCUCUCAAAGAGUCGAGUUGUUUGGGAAUGCAGCUCUAAAUGGGUGGUAAAUUCCAUCUAAAGCUAAAUAUUGGCGAGAGACCGAUAGCGAACAAGUACCGUGAGGGAAAGAUGAAAAGAACUUUGGAAAGAGAGUUAAACAGUACGUGAAAUUGCUGAAAGGGAAACGCUUGAAGUCAGUCGCGUUGGCCAGGGAUCAACCUUGCUUUAGUGAGGCGUACUUCCUGGUUGACGGGUCAGCAUCAGUUUCGACCGCUGGAGAAAGGCUUGGGGAAUGUGGCAUCUCCGGAUGUGUUAUAGCCCCUUGUCGUAUACAGCGGUUGGGACUGAGGAACUCAGCACGCCGCAAGGCCGGGUUUCGACCACGUUCGUGCUUAGGAUGCUGGCAUAAUGGCUUUAAGCGACCCGUCUUGAAACACGGACCAAGGAGUCUAACAUGCUUGCGAGUGUUUGGGUGGUAAACCCGAGCGCGUAAUGAAAGUGAAAGUUGGGAUCUCUGUCGUGGAGAGCACCGACGCCCGGACCUGAUGUUUACUGACGGAUCUGCGGUAGAGCACGUAUGUUGGGACCCGAAAGAUGGUGAACUAUGCCUGAAUAGGGUGAAGCCAGAGGAAACUCUGGUGGAGGCUCGUAGCGAUUCUGACGUGCAAAUCGAUCGUCGAAUUUGGGUAUA